rnacentral:tRNA from 1 species
GCGAAGGUAGCCAAGCCAGGUCAACGGCGAUAGAUUCAGGGUCUAUUCUCAUAGGAGUUCUGGGGUUCGAAUCCCUUCCUUCGCAC